rnacentral:rRNA from 1 species
AUACAGAGGGUGCGAGCGUUAAUCGGAAUUACUGGGCGUAAAGCGCGCGUAGGCGGCUACUUAAGUCAGAUGUGAAAUCCCCGGGCUCAACCUGGGAACUGCAUCUGAUACUGGGUAGCUAGAGUUUAGGAGAGGGAAGUAGAAUUACAGGUGUAGCGGUGAAAUGCAUAGAGAUCUGAAGGAAUACCAGUGGCGAAGGCGGCUUCCUGGCCUAAAACUGACGCUGAGGUGCGAAAGCGUGGGUAGCAAACGGGAUUAGAAACCCCGGUAGUCC